ACAGCUUAUUGCAAAAAAUUAGUGAUAGGGCCUUAAGGGUGUGGCACUGCUAUAAUGCUUGCUUAGUAUACACAAAGCCCCGGAUUUAAACCCUGGGUCAAAGGGUUUAAGAAGAAAAAAAAAAAUAGGUAAGAGGGAGGAAUCACCAAAUCAAUAGUAGUUAUCAUCUUUGGAGAAGAAAGUUCAGUGAUAAUGGAGGGCUUGCAAAUAGGAGUGACAUUUUCAUUUUCUCAUCCCUGAGGUGGUAAAAUUGUCUUAUUUGAAUUGAAUAGGUCUUCAAAUGUAGCUAAAUGGUAGAGCAAUUACUUUCCUAGUGUAUGUUAAAUCCUAGGUUCAAUGUCUGUCAUCUCACACACACAAUGAAUGUGUGUUGUGCGCCCUGUCCUGUGUAUUAGUGAUAUUUUAGAGCUAUAAGAUAAAAGCAAACAAAACUGACAUCCUGAGGAGUUCCAGGUGUGGUUGUGCGUGCCUAUAAUCUGAACAUUUGGGAGGGGCAAACAGGAGGAUUGAGAGUUUGAGACUAGCUUGGGCUCCGUAGUAAGACAGUCUCAAAAAACAUUAAGACAAGACAAACAGACCAUGAAACAAAAACAUGAUCUGAAGCUCUAACAAUCAGGUGAUGAGUGAGAAACUCUUCUGACAUGGAUAUGGAUAGGAGUUCAUCCAUGGCUGGGUCUAGGCAAAGUAUAUAACCCACCCUGGCAUGGGUACCAGGUACCCUCAGCAAGCCAUGGCCAGUGGCUACACUUCUACUUCCCAUUGGACCCACACCUCUAAUACACAAAGCAGGGUGCAGCUGGGCUAUCAGCAAUGGUCUUGUAGAGAUGCCAGAUGCAGGGGUACCAAAAACAGUAAUAAAAACUUGUUUUUGAACUUUCACUAUUUGCAGAUGAUAUGAUAGUAUACAUAAGUGACCCCAAAAAUUCUACCAGGGAACUCCUACAACUGGUAAACCCCUUCAGUAAAGUGGCAGGAUACAAGAUCAACUCAAAAAAAUCAGUAGCCCUCUUAUACACAAAUGAUAAAAGGGCUGAGAAAGGAACCAGAGAAACAUCACCCUUUACAAUAGCCACAAAUAAUAUAAAAUACCUUGGGAUAACAUUAACUAAACAAGUGAAGGACCUGUUUGAUAAGAACUUUAAAUCUCUGAAGAAAGAAAUUGAAGAAGAUAUCAGAAAAUGGAAGGAUCUCCCAUGCUCACGGAUAGGUAGGAUUAACUUAGUAAAAAUAGCAAUCUUACCAAAAACAAUCUACAGAUUCAAUGCAAUCCCCAUCAAAAUCCCAACACAAUUUUUCACAGACUUGGAAAGAACAAUACUCAACUUCAUAUGGAAAAACAAAAAAACCCAGGAAAGCUAAAAGAAUCCUGUAUAAUAAAGCAACCUCUGGAGGCAUCACCAUCCCUGACCUCAAGCUCUACUAUAGAGCUAUAGUAAUAAAAACAGCUUGGUACUGGUAUAAAAACCAACAUACAGACCAAUGGAAUUGAAUUGAAGACCCUGACAUUAGUCCACACACAUAUGAACACCUGAUUUUUGACAAAGAAGCCAAAACUAUACAAUGGAAAAAAGAAAGUAUCUUCAACAAAUGGUGCUGGCAUAACUGGAUGUCAAUACGUAAAAGAUUACAAAUAGAUCCAUAUCUGUCACCAAGCACAAAAAUCAAGUCCAAGUGGAUCAAAGACCUCAACAUAAAUCCAGCUACACUGAACUUGACAGAAAAGAAAGUACUCUUGAACGCAUUGGCACAGGAGAUCACUUCCUAAAUAUAACACCAGCAGCACAGACACUGAGCACAACAAUUAAUAAAUGGGACCUCUUGAAACUGAGAAGCUUUUGUAGGGCAAAAGACAUGGUCAAUAAGACAAAAAGACAGCCAAUAGAAUGGGAAAAGACCUUCACCAACCCCACACCUGACAGAGGACUGAUCUCCAAAGUAUAUAAAGAACUCAAGAAACUAGACAUCAAAAUACUGAACAAUCCAAUUAAAAAUGGGCUAAAGAGCUAAACAGAAUUCUCAAAAGAAGAAUCAUAAAUGGCUGAAAGACAUUUAAAGAAAUGCUUAACAUCCUUAAUCAUCAGAGAAAUACAAAUCUAAAUGACUCAGAUAUCACCUUACACCUGUCAGAAUGGCUAUGAUCAAAAACACUAAUGACAGUCUAUGUUGGAGAGGAUGCAGAGCAAAGGGAACACUCCUCCACUGUUGGUGGGAAUGCAAACUUGUACAACCACUGUGGAAAUCAGUAUGGAGGUUUCUCAGAAAAUUGGGAAUCAAUCUACCUCAAGACCCAGCCAUACCACUUUUGGGCACAUACCCAAGGAAUGCUGAAUCAUACCACAAAGAUACAUGCUCAGCUAUGUUCAUAGCAGCACUAUUUUUUUUUAUUUUUUAUUUUUUAUUUUUUGGGUUUUUCGAGACAGGGUUUCUCUGUGUAGCUUUGCGCCUUUCCUGGAACUCACUUGGUAGUCCAGGCUGGCCUCGAAGUCACAGAGAUCCACCUGCCUCUGCCUCCCGAGUGCUGGGAUUAAAGGCGUGCGCCACCACCGCCCGGCAGCAGCACUAUUUGUAAUAGUCAGAACCUUGAAACAACCUAGAUGCCUGUCAACUGAAGAAUGGAUUAAGAAAAUGUGGUACAUAUACACAAUGGAGUACUACUCAGCAGAGAAAAACAAUGACAUCAUGAAAUUUGCAGGCAAAUGGUUGGAACUAGAAAGUAUCAUCCUGAGUGAGGUAGCACAAACCCAGAAAGACAAACAUGGUAUGUACUCACUGAUAAGUGGAUACUAGCUAUAAAGCAAAGAACAAUCAGACUGCAACCCACAGAACCAGGGAGGCUAUAUAGCAGGGGGGACCCUAGGAUAACUGUGGCUUAUAAUAAAUUUUGGUUUUAUUAAAAAAAAGAGAGAUAAACUCACUAAUAUAUAUAUGUGUGUGUGUGUGUGUGUGUGUGUGUGUGUGUGUGUGUGUGUGUGUGUGUGUGUAUAUGAAUCAAUUUAUCUAAAUAGCUUAAACUUAACAAAUUUAGCAAAUACAAAGAGGCUAGACAACAUUCUUAAGCCUGAAUGUGCCUUGGGUAUGGAGCAACAUUCUCUAAGUCAUGGUUCUCAACUAUCUCAAUGCUAUUUUAUAACUGCAGUUUUGCCAUUGUUGAAUCUCAAUGCAAACAUCUGACAUAUAGGUAGUCCUAGGCCACCCUUGUAAAAAGUUGUUUGUUUGUUUGUUUUUUAACUCCCAAAAGGUGAAGACUCAUGGAAUCAGAAGCUGUUUUAAGCCCUUUGUCAGACUGCUUAGGUCAUUGUCUUGCUGCAUCACAAGGAAUGAACAUCCCAGUUUCUGGUUAGCAUUUGGGGCUUAUGGCUGUUACCCUAAUUUUUAGCCUUUUAUUUUAAGUCUAAAUAUUAACAAUAUAGAGCAUUUUAUAAGCUGAAAAUGUCCCAUAGCCUUAUAAACUUUUAUAUUUAAAAAAACUGUUCUUAAAAAGAUUAAGAUCUCUCAAAUGUUUUCUGUAAUAUCAACAAUAAAGUACCUUUUUUAUUUUAAGGGGAAGAAAACAUGGCAUCAUGUAUAAAGUAAUCUGUAUAAAGUAAAACCAAGCUUCAAAGUGAAAAAAAAAUUUGUUUUUGAGCCAAGCAUGUUGACUCACAUCUUAAUCCCAGUACUUGGGAGGCAGAGGCAGGUGGAGUUCUGUGAGUUCAAGACCAGCCUGGACUACACAGUGAGUUCUGGACAUCCAGGGCUAUAUAGAGUGACCCUGUCACAAAAGAAAAAUAAUUUUUUCAUAAAAUACCUUUUAAAAAUCAUGAAUGUCAAAAUCUAUUACCAAAACUUGCCUAAAUUUUAAAGAAAGACUGAAUCCAGCCUUGAAUCAAAUACCGCAUCUCUUCUUGCCAGGAGGUAGGGAGCCAGGAGGCACAGAGGGUGCCUCUCAUCAUGUCUACCCUGCUUCAGGAAGGUGAAUAUGGGUGCCUUGGCUUCCUGCAGGGGCCAAGCCUCCGAUCCCUCUGGAACUCCCCGCAAGAACUCCCUUACUACACUUGACCAGCAGUGGGAAAAGUGAAAGGGAGAGGCAUGGACGGCCAGGCUGGGUUCCCAAGUACCCUGACCUGACCUGCCUUGUUGCUGGUAGCUGGCAACAAGUCCUGACUCUGGCCAUGAGAGCACAACAAUGAAAGAAGACUUUGGGCAAGUGGAACCCACUCCUGGGGGACAUGGCAGGACACCAUGGGAACAAGGGCCAUGGGCCUCUUCUUUUUUUUUUUCAAGACAGGGUUUCUCUGUGUACCUUUGGUGUCUGUCCUAAUAGACCAGGCUGGUCUUGAACUCACAGAGAUCUGCCUGACUGUGCCUCCCAAGUGCUGGGAUUAAAGGUGUGUGCCACCACCACCCGGAGGGCCUCUUCUUUUUUUCUCCCUCCUUCUUCCUCCUCCUCCCCCUCCUCCCCCUCCUCCUCCCCUCUCCCCUCCUUACCCCCUUUCUCUCCACUCCUCCCCCUCUUCCUCUUCUUUUUUAAGACUGGGUUUCUCUAUGUAACCCUGGCUGUCCUAGAAUUUGCUCUGUAGACCAAGCUGGUCUUGAACUCAGAGAUCCACAAGCCUCUGCCUCCCGAGUGCUGGGAUUAAAUGUGUGAGCCACCACCACCCAGCUCCCAGCGCUGCUUCUUGCAUUGGUUUCUCCUGUGUGCCUCCUCACCCUGACCCUCACUCUGCUCCCAGUGACUCUCAGAACUCCGCAGCUGACGGGGUCCCAUGCCACCCCUGGCAAUCUCUUCUGUCCUUGCCCCAGCUGAACCCAACAUACAGGGUUCAGCCCUACAAUAUGGACCCUCAAAUAUGCUAAAAUCUCAGACAGAGAACACCCUCUAGCUCUCCUAAGCACAGACACAGACUCCCUACAUGUAGUGAUCCCUACAUAUGUGGUGAAACUAAAGAAACACAGUCACAGAGGGAUGAUGAUGCCGUAAGACUAGUCCGGCAUUGGAUAUCUGUGAGCACUCUGAAGGGGAACCAGUGCCUUGAUGAUCUCAGCACACAGGGGUACACCUGGUUCAGUGAGGAACCCAGUGAGCUCUAGGAUGCUGUUGUCCACAAACACUCCUGUGCCUGCUGAUGGCUGGAGGUGGCUGCCUGUCCUUCAGAAUCACUGGAAGCCACAAGGCUAGGACAGUCUCUCUUCCAUCCUCCUUAGAGGCACAAUGCCCUUGCCCUAGGAGAGACAUCUGAAAGGAACUGGACACACAGCACUAGAGGAAUAAAAUCAAAUCUAUUGAACCCAGAGGGUUGAGUCCCCAGGAAAGAUACCAUUCCAAGGCACAGAUGCACUAUUUUUUAAAUUACUUUAUCUAGUUGAGUGUGAGGGUGGGCAUGCACAUGACACAGCAUAUGUAGAGGUCAGCGGACAAGUUGUGGGAAUUAAUUCUCUUCUUCCACCAUAUGGGUCCCAGGGAUCAAACUCAGUUUGUUAAGUUUGACUGGAAGCAUCUUUAUCUGCUGAGCCAUUUCACCCCCAAAUGCAAUGUUCUCUGUGCACCUCCUUGGCCACUGAAAUCCUUCUUCAUUCCUUUCCCCAAAGGAACUCCUCAGUACAAGUGUCAGACAGACAGAUACACAGAGAGACAGACAGACAGACAGACACACACACACACACACACACACACACACACACACACACACACACACGGAAAGAGAGAAAAGAGAGAGUUUCGAAAUGGGCUCAGAAGCUCCAAGACACCAUGGACAUGCCAUGAAAACGUCAACACAAGCCAGGCGUGGUGGCGCACGCCUUUAAUCCCAGCACUCGGGAGGCAGAGGCAGGAGGAUCUCUGUGAGUUUAAGGUCAGCCUGGUCUACAAAGCAAGCUCUAGAACAGCCAAGGCUAUAUAGAGAAACUCUGUCUUGAAAAACCAAACCAAAAGCAAAACAAAAACAAACAAACACAACACAACAACAACAAAAACCAAACAAACAGAGAAAUCAACACCUACAGAAAUCCAACACAGGAGCAUUCCCCGAGAGACAAUCCAGAGGUGGGUGCAUAGCUCCCACACUCAAAAGCCUGAGCCUCUUGCAACUUGCCGAAGGUGUACUCUGAUGCACAGGUACAUAUCAAUCCCUGGGGACAGGACCCAGGGAGUAAAUGAGUGCUUUGUGAGCACUAGGCAUCACAAUGUCAGGUCCAGGCUGGCAGUAUAGGGGUGGCAUGAAAAGCACCCUAGUUCGGGGGACUAGGUGACCAGCACAGCCAGCAUAGAAAUGAUCCACAAGAGGCAAGAACACAACCAAAUAGCUAGUGGUGAUGCAAACUUUGAGAGUCUGACUCCGAGUAUCACACCACAGCAUCCCCACUUCACAGUUCAUGGUCCCUUCCUUCACUUUUGUCUGCUUCCAUCCUCCAAUUGAACUUGGUCCUCUGCAAGAACAAGUGCCCUUAGCCACUGCGCCAUCUCUCCAGCUAGAGCACGGUCUUUUUUUUUUUUUUUCAAAACAACAGUCUAAGCCAGGCGGUGGUGGCGCACGCCUUUAAUCCCAGCACUCAGGAGGCAGAGCCAGGCGGAUCUCUGUGAGUUCGAGGCCAGCCUGGGCUACCAAGUGAGUUCCAGGAAAGGCGCAAAGCUACACAGAGAAACCCUGUCUCGAAAAACCAAAACCAAAACCCAAAACAAACAAACAAACAAAAAAAGUCUAGGUCCUUUGCUUUAUUUCUUUUGUAGGUUAAGGCACGCAUUCAUAGGGAAUGGGCUCCAGCAGCUCAGGCUACUUUCGGCGGUCCUCACUAAGUGUGCGACUCUGGGUGGGACAGGCUGGAGCUGCAAUUGAACCCACAUGACUUUCCUUUGCCUUCCUUUUCUUUCCUGGUUGUUUUCCUUCAGCAGUUUCAGGAAGCUGCCCUGGCACCCCCCUACACACACACCCACACCUCCCCCACACCCCCGAAUUAAUCCUCUUGGCAAGACUCUUGCCCUUAGCUUGCUUGUUUACAGUGAGGCCCACAGCAUGCUGAGUGACAUUGACUCUUCCUUAUGGGGAACUCCCUGAACAGUGCCAUUCCCGUGAUGUCUGCAAUAUCACCAUCGUGCAUGUGGCCAAAGAACAACUCCAUGUUUCCUAAAAGGCCUAGAGGACAUACAGUAGGCGCCUCUCCUCUUUCUACCCUGUUUGUCGUUUUGGUGAGUUACUGGAAGAUAACCGCCACAGCAGAGAGGCAAGUGUGGACUUCUUUUAAAAAUCAAAACAAGCCGGGCGGUGGUGGCGCACGCCUUUAAUCCCAGCACUCGGGAGGCAGAGGCAGGCGGAUCUCUGUGAGUUCGAGGCCAGCCUGGUCUACAGAGCGAGAUCCAGGAUUGUUAGGUCUACACAGAGAUACCCUGUCUCAAAAAAAAAAAAAAAUCAAAAAUAAAUAAAUAAAUCACAUACACACACAAAUUGUUGUCGUUAUUUUACGUGUUUGAUUUUUGAGACAGGGUCUCUUUGUCUCUCCUGAGACUCUACUGUGUAGACCAGGCUGGCUUCCAACUGCAUCCUCCUUCCUCUGCCUCCACAAUGUCGGGACUAAAAGCAUGCACCACCAUACCCAGCCAUUUUUACUUUAUGUAUUUGAGUGUUUGCCUGCAUGUACGUCUGUGUACCACAUAUGUGCAGUGCCAUAAGAGGCCAGAAGAGGGUGCUGUAUUCUCUAGAAAUGGAGUUACAGGUAGUUAUGAGUUGUCAUGUGGGUGCUAGGAGCCAAGCCCUGGCCUCUGGAAGAGAAGUAAGUUCUCUUAACCUCUGAGCUGUCUCUCAGAAAGGGGUAUGGUCUUCUUAAGGGAACGUCACUAUAAAAUAAAUGGGAUUUCUGCUGAGAUACCUAGAAAAUUGUAAGUUUACAGCUGGGAAGGGAGAAAGGCCCUAACAAGAUGUUAGUUGUGUUGGAAUCCUUGAUUCUCAGCUGAAAGACUUCAGCCAGACUCUGGUGUGAGGGAGUCCUUGCCUUCACAUGUCUAGAAUUCCCUGUCUUUCUCUCUGGCCUCACAGGCGUGCUCAGCCUCACCUGCAUACUGUCACACAGUCCCAACAUGCUUAGGCAGGUGCUUGGUUAAGCUACAGCUGCCCACACUUCAGCCCUAACUCUGCCAGACUGUAGCCAGAGCCAAGCAAUGGAGACCUCCAUGAAGCAAUAGAGCCGCUUCCCUGACUCCAUAUUGGAUACCUGGCGCUGUCCUCCUGGUUCUGUCCCUAGACCCUGGUGGGACCCUGUAUGACAGGCUGUGUCAUGCCCAGAUUGCGACCCCAAAGAGACCACUGGAGACUGAAGAUGUCCAGAGUGCAAUAGCAAGGUUUAUUUCCGUUACAAGUCGCGACAGGGAACUCAUCCCAAGCACUCACUGGCCGCAGCGCAGCCAGGCCGGGAGGAGCUGCUCGCUCUUUGUGAGGCUGGCUUUUUUUUGUUUUUUUUUUUUUGUUUUUUCGAGACAGGGUUUCUCUGUGUAGCCCUGGCCAUCCUGGAACUCACUCUGUAGUCCAGGCUGGCCUCAAACUCACAGAGAUCCACCUGCCUCUGCCACCCGAGUGCCACCACCGCCCAGCUGAGGCUAGCUUUUUAAAGGCAAAAACCACAAGCCCUUCAGGGCGGGUGGGGGUGGGGUUGGGGGUUUGGCACGGGUGCAACUUGGAUUGGUUUAUUUUUAUUUUUGAAGGUCUCUGUUCUCUUUUAAUUGGGUGAGGGUUUGUAACCUUUAAAUUUACUGCUUGGGGGUUACAAUUAUCAUUUUGGGGGCUGUUCAGGACAAGUCCCAGGCUUUGUCCUUGAGCUGCCAUGGGGGCUGGCUGGCCUAGCAUGUACUGACUGUGGGGGCUGGCUCAGUGGCCCAGGCUCUGUCCUUGACUCACGCACAUAGCUCUAAGUUGGUGAGGGGUCCCAGACAGUAAACAACUGGCUGUACUUUGAGCAGUCAGAGUACACGCAGAAAGAGAGCUAGUGCAAAGACUGUCUUUUGUUCAUGGCCCUCCCAGAAACUGCUUGCUCAAGUCUCAGGAAACUGAAAUUGAGGCCUGAUCUCUGAGAGAAGACUGAGCAGCCUGUCAUGGCGUCUGCCUGGUCCUCUCAGCUGUCUGUAUUAUUUUCUUAUCAUUUGUCUUCCUGGCUCUCCCACAGGCUUGUUUCUGAAGGAUCUGAAACCUGCUCCAUCUCUCCCUUGGGCCAUGGGCUGUGCCUGAGAUAGACUGGCAAGCCAUGAACUCUGUAUCAGGGCCCCAUAUUGCAACCCACGGAUCUGAAGCAAUUUGCUCCACUGCCCUGAGCCUCAUCUCCGCCAUUCUGCAGUGCACAGAUGGGAAACCUCAUCCAGCUGCAGAAGGGAAGGUCCUGGCAUUUAGGGGAACUCCUUCAUGGAGUCACUGCUGGAUCACAGGUGUCCCUUAGUCACUGUUGGGCCACAGGUGUCCUUGUUAUAAAGUUUUCUUUCCAGGAUGUGGUAUGACAGAGAGAAGCAGCAGAGCCUGGAGGUGGAAUGUCCUCCACCUACUUGAAGACUCAGGCAAGAGCAUUCUGGGGACAUCAGUAAGGCCCUGGAGGGUCUGAUCUCAGCCAGAAGAAUGUUCUAUGUGGUUUGUCAUGAUCUACUGGGCUACUAGCCAGAGAAGAGUGCUGUAGAUAACUUAGGUUGUGGGGGGCAGGGGGUUGUCUCUGGGCCACAGUAAAGCUGAGACUAUGUCCUGUAGCCAGUGAGGAUGAGCUCGUGCUUGGCCUAAGACCUUUGCAGGAGGCCACAGGAUGGGGCAGCAUACUUGUUUUGUCUGAUUUUAGCAUUUUUAUUUUCAACCAUCACCAUAUGAAAUAUUAAUAUAUGAAUUUGUGUAUCAAAAUACUACUAUAGAGAUGCAAACAGCAUUCCUACAAAUUGGACAUAUUUAGUUAUAGGAAUCCAUUUAUUUUAACUUAUCAAUUACAAACAAAUAAAUUGUUAUGUUGGAUCAAG